AACGCGAAGAACCUUACCUGGGCUCGAAAUGCUAUGGACCAGCUGGUGAAAGCCGGCCUUCCCGCAAGGGACUGUAGUAUAGGUGCUGCAUGGCUGUCGUCAGCUCGUGUCGUGAGAUGUUGGGUUAAGUCCCGCAACGAGCGCAACCCUUGUCCUGUGUUGCCAUCAUUCAGUUGGGAACUCGCAGGAGACCGCCAGGGAUAACCUGGAGGAAGGUGGGGAUGACGUCAAGUCCUCAUGGCCUUUAUGUCCAGGGCUACACACGUGCUACAAUGGCCGGUACAAACCGCUGCAACCCCGCGAGGGUGAGCUAAUCGGAAAAAGCCGGCCUCAGUUCGGAUUGGAGUCUGCAACUCGACUCCAUGAAGCUGGAAUCGCUAGUAAUCGUGGAUCAGCAUGCCACGGUGAAUACGUUCCCGGGCCUUGUACACACCGGCUAC
rnacentral:rRNA from 1 species